rnacentral:misc_RNA from 1 species
GUCAUUUCAUUCUUAAAAUUUAUUUUAGUAUUGAGUUGUUUGUUGUCAAUAACUCGAAAUGAAAUUGCAGAAGCGACUCUAGCUUUCACAACGUAUUAGGUUUUACCAUCUCGUUGGCUACGGAGCUAGAGCAGCAUCGGCGUUAUAACCAAACUUAUAAGUUUGACCUCAAAUCAGGCAAGAUUACCCGCUGAACUUAA